GACGAACGCUGGCGGCGUGCCUAAUACAUGCAAGUAGAACGCUGAAGAGAGGAGCUUGCUCUUCUUGGAUGAGUUGCGAACGGGUGAGUAACGCGUAGGUAACCUGCCUUGUAGCGGGGGAUAACUAUUGGAAACGAUAGCUAAUACCGCAUAACAAUGGAUGACACAUGUCAUUUAUUUGAAGGGGCAAUUGCUCCACUACAAGAUGGACCUGCGUUGUAUUAGCUAGUAGGUGAGGUAAUGGCUCACCUAGGCGACGAUACAUAGCCGACCUGAGAGGGUGAUCGGCCACACUGGGACUGAGACACGGCCCAGACUCCUACGGGAGGCAGCAGUAGGGAAUCUUCGGCAAUUGGGGCAACCCUGACCGAGCAACGCCGCGUGAGUGGAGAAGGGUUUCGGAUCGUAAAGCUCUGUUGUAAGUCAAGAACGGGUGUGAGAGUGGAAAGUUCACACUGUGACGGUAGCUUACCAGAAAGGGACGGCUAACUACGUG
rnacentral:rRNA from 1 species